rnacentral:rRNA from 1 species
UACGUAGGGGGCAAGCGUUGUCCGGAAUUAUUGGGCGUAAAGAGCGUGUAGGCGGCCAGAUAAGUCCGCUGUGAAAUCUCGAGGCUCAACUUCGAGCUGUCGGUGGAAACUAUCUGGCUAGAGUCCGGAAGAGGAGAAUGGAAUUCCUGGUGUAGCGGUGAAAUGCGCAGAUAUCAGGAAGAACACCCGUGGUGAAGGCGGUUCUCUGGGACGGUACUGACGCUGAGACGCGAAAGCGUGGGGAGCGAACAGG